AACGAACGCUGGCGGCAGGCUUAACACAUGCAAGUCGAACGCCCCGCAAGGGGAGUGGCAGACGGGUGAGUAACGCGUGGGAACGUGCCCUUCGCUUCGGAAUAGCCCCGGGAAACUGGGAGUAAUACCGAAUACGCCGUAUUGGGAAAGAUCUAUCGGCGAAGGAUCGGCACGCGUUAGAUUAGCUAGUUGGAGGUGUAAUGUAACCCCAAGGCUACGAUCUAUAGCUGGUCUGAGAGGAUGAUCAGCCACACUGGGACUGAGACAGGGCCCAGACUCCUACGGGAGGCAGCAGUGGGGAAUCUUGGACAAUGGGCGCAAGCCUGAUCCAGCCAUGCCGCGUGAGUGAAGAAGGCCUUAGGGUUGUAAAACUCUUUCGCCGGAGAAGAUAAUGACGGUAUCCGGAGAAGAAGCCCCGGCUAACUUCGUGCCAGCCGCCGCAGUAACAC
rnacentral:rRNA from 1 species